rnacentral:rRNA from 1 species
AGCUCCAAUAGCGUAUAUUAAAGUUGUUGCAGUUAAAAAGCUCGUAGUUGAACUUCUGCUGUGUUGGCCUUGUGUCGCUCUGCGUUACUUGCGUUGUCACAGCUUUCCCCUUUGUGCUGCACUUUUCUGUGUUUGUACACUGGGGGGUUUACUUUGAGAAAAAUAGAGUGUUUCAAGCAGGCUGUGCCUUGAAUACUGCAGCAUGGAAUAAUGAGAUAUACCUGCAUUCUUUUUUCGUUGGUUUUGAGGAAUGAGUGAUGAUUAAUAGGGAUAGUUGGGGGCAUUUGUAUUCGACUGUCAGAGGUGAAAUUCUAUGAUUUGUCGAAGACAGACUACUGCGAAAGCAUUUGCCAAGGAUAUUCUCA